AAGAGUACGCACAGAGCCUAGCCAAGUUCCACAGGGAAUAUGCUGAGUGCUGGAGUUGCGGAGGUCAUGGUGUCUCUUCACAGCAACGGAAUCCUAAUGAAGACACUAACCUAAACCAAAAUCCCAGCAGCAAAGCAGCUAUGAAGGAAAAAAAGUAACGGCCCAGAACCCAACACCCUGCUCCAGCCCCUUUCAUACUCUGGCAAGUCUGGGCUUAUGAUUAUUUCCUUUGCAAGCCAAAUCAAUAACUAGGAGUGGGGGCAAACUCCCCACAGCAGGCUCCACUCCUGCCACUGCCCCAAGCCCCACUUUCUUAAGAUGGUAUUCUAAGCACCUCUUUCAACAGGGAGUCCUUGGAUCUGCACAGCUGAGACCUGAAACUGAAGAAUGUGAGUAUCACCCCAAGCAUGGGCAAGAUCCUCACAUCCAUUCCCACCAGACCCAACCCAAAGGAAAGGCCCUCUCCUCCUUGACUCUCGCUAGCACAUCUACCUACACAUCAGGCUUCACUUUUCUGGCUUGUUUCAGCCCAUUUACUCUAUAAACUGCUACUGAACAGCUGGCAGUGCAGUCCUGUAGCUGCGAGAACAGAAGUUGAGCAGUGAAUAAAUAGUCUCUGCUCUCAAAGGCUUUUAACCACACAGUGGGUAUAAGAGACAAGCAUGUGUAUACCUACAUUACAAUGAAAUAUAUCUGACAAGGAUAAGUCAAAUUUAUGAACCAAAAGGAGGUGUUUGGGCGGUCUAGUCUGGGAAGAUGAGUCCGUGGCUUCUGAGGGACCAUGCAGACUCUCAGAGACUUUCUUUCUUCUAUGCCUUUUAGCCUAAGUGCAGGAUCAAUAGGUCAGUGUUUACCUACAGCAAACAACAGUUCUGCAACUGCUACCCUGCUCAGCAAACAGACUGUCAACACUGAAGCCAUGGAAGUCCAGAAGCAAGUGCCCUCAAGGAGGUCCUGAUAGGACAGAGGAGAAAACAAUUAUUCUCUGAAAGAGACUAAGCAAAGUACAACUAGGGAACUGCACAUGAGAUGCUGCACACAUGACAAGUCCAACAGGGCCUGGGGUCCACCAGGGUGGUCACCAGCCUGGGGUCACUCACAGGGUGGUUUCCGGGAAACUGAAUGUAGGAGUCCUCCUGAUAAACUUGGGUAAAAAGUAAAGUGGGGUGGGGUGGGGUGCAGUAGGCUUCACAGCUGGGGGAGUAGUGCGGAGACAGAACAGAACAACACAGUCCACACCCUCAAAGGGACAAGUUCAGGGACACUCAGAGCUUCCAUUCUGGCUACAUGAAAAGAAGUUAGGCAUGACAGAGGAGGGUCUGGGAGAUGACAGAAAAAACUGAGGCCACAGUGUGUUACAGGACCAUGAUGGUUGUAGGAGAUUUAGACUUCCUCCUAAGAGGGAAGAAGAGCCUCCCACAUCUUCAACCAAAGAAUGGCAUUAUUGGUUUCACCGAAAUGAAAGAUUUCUACGGCUAUGCUGAGAACAGGGAGGGAAAUGCAAGGCUGAAGGCAGGGACCACAAGCACAAGAUGGUUUGAGCAAGGCAGGGGUAAAUGACUGGCCAGACUAAAGCAGCAACACCAUGAUGGAAGAAACCAUAGAACCUGACAUUAGAAAGCAGUAAACCUAGAAGAAAGCUAUGGAACUUCUAACCAAACUCAAGAGGAGAAAGUCAAGGUGUCCUCAAGAUGGCAAUGACAGCGAAGCAGGCCUAGAGCAAGAGCAGCACUACUGCCAGUGUGAUAAAGCUGGGAAGUGCCACCACCACCCUGAGUGCAGUCUGGCUUCAAGAGACCAUGUACUUCAGUACCACACACACACACACACACACACACACACACACACACACAGAGAGAGAGAGAGAGAGAGAGAGAGAGAGAGGACAACAUGCUCUUUCACCUUCCAUCUUUACAGUAACCAAAGCGUUAUCAAUGUUACCUACAACCAAGUAAUUUCAGGCUCCAACCAUUGGCUGCCAGCUAAUUAGAGCACAUAAUCAACUAUCCACUCACUCAAGGGAACCAGGAAAUUGUCUCAAGUAUGCUCCCAAGGCCUUGCAAGAUCCUCCAGUACUGUGACAGCUGUCAACAAAGUGUCGAGUAGCCCUAGGGAUAGAACAGGUUUAAAAGAAAACUAAUAAACAGUUAUUGUUGCACCCAAGCAGCAGGGACAUGGCCUAAUACAGAACACUUCAGGGACAGCUGGACUGUCAGGGAGACAGGAAAGGGAACAGGAAGAAGGAGGAUUCUGGGUCACAUAUCACCUUGUUUUUAAAAUGUUUCUUAAAAGAAAACAUCAUCAACAACAAUAACCUAUCAUUUGGCUGACAGCUGGAAAGUGAAUGGAUUUAUUUUGAAUAUUUCCACAUACAAUAGCAAAACGUACAUUUGAAACUCCAUUGGGCAUUUAUUCUAAGAGAUCGGGGCCAUCCCAAUGAUGCCCUAUAAAUCUGUCAAAUUCCAAGAAAUGCUGUAAGAUUGUUAAUUAGGCAUUUAUUUUACAACUGGCAUAUAAAAUUUGUCAGAUAGCAUUUCUAUAUAUUGGUCUUUAUUCUCCAUACUCCAAGAGAAUAGUUUAUAUAGACGAUGUCUUGCAUUUUAUAAAUCUCAACACAGAAUUACAAAUUCCUACUUUACAGCUUUUGCCUCUAAUAAUUUCUAUGAUUUAUCCACCAACAAUUCUGAGAAAACACAACCCAUUCUUAUAAUCACUGUAGACUUAGUAUCCAAAAUCUACUGUAACAAAAAUAGGGUGUUCUCUUAAAAUAGCUUCUUUUGCCUAUAGUCCUUGAAUGUGCAAGUAGCUGACUGAACUCCAGAUAUAGGAACUGUGGUUCCUGCCAUUACUCCUGCUCAAUCUUCACAUCCAGGCACCCCAUGCUGCUGCUGCUUCUCAGGAAGCCACUGGUCCCCAUGCCACCUAUAGGCACUUAUACACGCACGGUAAAUUACACAGAGCUGGUCUCUAGGUAGAGACCACUUAAAAUUUACUAAGAAGCAGCAGAGCCAACAGUUAAUACACUAACAGGAAAUCACCAGGCAGGGAACAACUGCAAAGUAUGACUCAGAAACAUUCCAGAAAGUACUAAGCUUUGCUCUGUAAAUCCCUUUCCUAUGGCACUGUAGCUAUCGUGUGUGGGAACCCUCUUGCACUGUCUUCAGACUGUCCUGAAUAUAUAAAUGUCCUAGCCAGGGAUUGGCUGCUACAUUAAAAGGCUUACAUC
rnacentral:lncRNA from 1 species